UGCACCUCUUCCUCCAGGGUUCAUUUUCUCCUCCAACCGGCUGGGCUCUGCGGAAUGUGGACCUUCCAGCCUGUGGGCCUGGCCCACCCCAGGCAGGGGACUUUGCGGAGGACACAUCCCCCACCUCACUGCUGCGAAUGUGACUCUCACCCUCAAGACCCUGCCUGGACCUUGGCAGUAGCCGCUGAUUUCUCAGCCCUGCCCUCAAGCCCAGCCUUGGGGGAGUGAUCUUCUGCAAUACAAAUCCAGUUGUCUCACUCAUCUGCCUAAAACUCCUCCACGUGCCUCACUGUCUACUGGACAAAGUCUGGACUGAUUAGCUGGUGUGGGAAGCCGGGCUGAUCUGGCCCCUGGGACUUCCACUUUCUCCUCUUCCCCUUCCCCACCCCCAGCUUUGACCCUCCCCAUCCCCACUCCCCUGACACCUCCUGAGCUCCCACCCUGUCUGAUGCCUUCGUUUAUUCACACCCAUGGCUUCCCUGUCGGGAGAGCCUUCUCCCACCUCUGGUCUGUAGAGAAUUCCAUUCUUUUCUCCUUAAAAACACAGCUCUGGGAUCUCCUGUGUGAAGCUUUCUUCCCCUGGAAGUGGGAGUCAGCUCUCGACCCUGAGGACUCCUUGGCAUCUUGUGCAUUUACGGCCCCAAGGCCCUGGUGUGCCACUCCUGGGGACACUUUGGGGCUGAGACUGUGAUUCUCUCAUCUUUGGAUCUCUAGCACAUGGCGCACAGUAGGUGUUCAAUAAUUGCUGAAUGACAUAGCUGUGCAUAUGUCACCUUAAGGGUGUGUGAUGUGACGGGGAUCUCAGAGGGGCAUUUACAGGGGGUCAAAGAGAGGAGAAAGAGGGAAGGAGGAAGGCAGGCUUAGCAACCGGCUGUAGUGCCCUCUGGACAUGACAGGUCCCUAAAUCCAGUCUGAGUCUGUUCUGAUUUUUAUCCUCAACCUCUACACUUGGGACUAAGUCAACAACAGCAAAUAAAUAAAAGGAGCAGGAGCCUUUGUCAAUGGGCCCCUAGGAACUGAUUCCUGCAGAAACAGAGAGUCCCCAGUCUGUCACUUCCUGCAGGUGCUGGCUCCACUGGAGGUUCCCACUGUCUCCGAGCAGAUCUUUGCUGCAAGCCCAUCUUGACGGCUGGAUCUUGCCGCCCCCGUGUUCUAGGGAUUGGUUAUUCCACAGUUGGGACUAUUAAGACCAAGUGAAUUAAACAGCACAUGCGAAGGUCUUUCGCAGUACCUUGCAAGUAGCAAGCACUCAAUAAAUGCAGCUGUGCUUUU